GGGAAGACCUGGCCGCCUCCAGCUCCCCUCUCACCUCCUGGGCGCGUCUCCUAAAAGAGGGAGAGAGGAAAAGAAAUUUCCCUCACUUUUCCCGUAGUUAAUUAGCAAAACUCAUCCGCUUUGCAGAGGUUCUCAUAGCUUCAGACUCCCGGAGCUCGAGAGCUGCGGGGUCAACGCCAGUGGCUCGCAGGCCGUCCAAUGGGAGAAGACGUUGGAGGUACCCGGCCAAGUUCAGCUUCACGAACUGCGGGGAGCUUGGCGGGCUGUCGCUGCAACCCGGGAGUAGGCCGCAGAAGUCGCGAGUUCAGGCGUCCCGACUGCCGUGUGGCUGUCGCGAUGUUUUUCUCCCAGGCCGGGGCCCGGCCGCGGACGUGGGAAGCCAGCCAGUCGGAACACAAGAAGUGGGUGGAAGUAUUUAAAGCAUGCGAUGAAGAAAACAAAGGCUAUCUAAGCAGAGAGGACUUUAAAGUUGCUGUUGUAAUGCUGUUUGGAUACAAGCCCUCCAAGAUAGAAGCUGAUUCUGUGAUGUCCUCAGUAGAUCCAAACACUUCCGGGAUAUUACUUAAGGAGUUUUUAGACAUUGUAAGGAAAAAGAAGGAAGCUCAACUAUAUCGGAAUGAAAUAAGACACAUCUUCACAGCUUUUGACAGGCACUAUCAUGGAUAUUUAACUCUGGAAGAUUUCAAGAAAGCAUUUAAGCAGGUGGCUCCCAAGUUAUCGGAAAGGAUUAUUCUCGAGGUAUUCAGGGAAGUAGAUCAAGACUCAGAUGGUCACGUCAGCUUUAAAGACUUCGAAUAUGCCAUGAACUACGGACAAAAAGGAAGGGGCACAUGAACGUCAUAAUGCAGCCCUGAGCGGAACACCCAGAUAAGGGACUGACUGUGGGGUUAGACUGUGACCGUGGGAGCUGGCGGCGAGGUCUCAAGGAGUCUCUGAGUCAUACGCCUCUGCGUGUGAAAGUGGGCCUGAAGUUGCUGUAGGUCACAAGGCCGGAAAUUGGGAAGGAAACAUGGAUAUGACGACAGUGGUCUCAACCCGGGGUGAUUUGCCCCCCAGGAGACAUUCAGCAAAGCCUAGAGACAGUUUGGGUUCCCACAACUGCCAUGAGUGUCGCUACCAGCAUCUAGCGGGUAGAGGCCAGGGAUGCCGCUGAACACCCCACAAUGCACAGGACAGCCCCACACAACAAAGAAUCAUCUGGCUUAAAACAGCCUCAGUGCUGAGGCUGAGAAACCUCAAGGUUAAGGUAAAGAAAGGCUGGGACCUGCGAGGCCGGCUGGAGCCCAUGUUUGUCUCCCACAGUGUCCAAGCUCCAUGCAGGGUGACCCACGGAAGCUGCUGGCGUCCUGUGCUGUGCAGCGACGCUUGCACUUGGCCGAGGACUUGGAAAAUCUGAAAGAGGAGGUUGGGCAUUGGCCGAGAGGCUGCAGGCCGCUGCCCCCUGCAACAGGUGAGCCGCAGAAGAGCUGCGGCCCGCGAGCUGCGGCAGUGCGGGGUGCCCUGCACCGACCUUCAGAGUGUAAGGGCUGCUGCUUCACCGCCACCUUCUGGACCUCAUGCUCACUUCUCUCGUGGCCAAGCCCGGCGCGGAGCCACAUGGAGAGCGGCACGCUAGGAAAUGUGGUUCCCGCUUAGCGCAGUUGCCCUGGUAACACACCUCCGCGGUGGACCACGUGGAGCUCCGCUCACCAGCACUUUUCACUUAGGAUGUGGCUUUUCCCCACCUCACUCCCAACCUUGAAUGCACUUCAAGGAGACUUGGCAUUUCAACUGUCUGAAUCUGCAAGCAGCUGGUGUGCUUUAGACGGAGAGUUGUGCAUCCACAUCUGUUCUUUCCUUCAGGAAUAGAGUCAUGGCUGGACACACAGCUGCCUGGAUGGACUACACGUCCCAGAGGCCCCUGCAGGUGUAGCUGUGACAUUAAGUACUGACCAUAGGGCUCUGAGGGAGGCAGUUGUGCCAGCUCCCGAGCCGGCCCUUCAGACACUGGCUGUGCACUCCUCCGUGUGCUCUACCCAUUUCCAGCUGGAACCCAGAGGUGGGGGCAGUCAGCUUCAACCGCGUAAGGACAAGAGCAGAGCAGCAAGACGGAAAGAUUCUGGAGGCUUUGUGGUCCAGAGAAUCUUUAAGCAUCCUUUUUCUUGAGUUCUGAGUGAACAGAUUAGUCACUUAGCUUGCAGAUGUUAAGAGUCAACUCAAAUCCACUGAAGCAGCAAAACGAGUAUAUUUGCUCACGUAAUUGGGAAGUCUGGGGUAAGAAUUGCAGGCAUAGCUGGAUCUAGGGGUUCAAACGAUGUCAUUAGGGCUCUCCAUCUCUCAGUCUGGGCUUUCUGCAGAAGUCCAGGGAAGAUGGCCUUCAGAAAUUCCAGGCUUAAAAUCUCCUUAUAGCUCAUGACCCAGCACAAGACAGGAGCUUCUCUCUUCCAACAUAUAUUUUUAAUUACGCAGAACAAGUGCUGGAUGGUCCUGCUGGGAUCACAGGCUCACCCCUGAACUCAUUGCUCUGAAACCCAGAAGGAGAUUGGAAUGAAUCUGUAAAAUCACUACCUGCGACAGUCUACUUGAGAAGUUAACCAACAUUACCGGGAGCGAAGACAGUGCCGAAGAGGGGGUAAAGUCAGGAAAUAUAAGUUGGGGUUCAGAAGAUGGAAAAUCAUGCUCACUGGGGGGAAUUUGGAAAGGCUUCACAGCAGAGGUGGGAUUUGAACUGGGCCUUGAAAGACUUAGAGCUUAAAAAUGCAUAAAGAAGAAAAUACUGUACUUUCUUUUCUGGCCAUUUUCAAAGGCUCAGGCAAGCUCAGUAGCACUGUGGGAUGGAAAGGACCCUGUUGUUUUUCUCUCCUCUGCCAUUGGUUCGGGAUGAGAAGUGCUUCCCUCUGAGCACUGAAUCCUUCCAGAGGCUGACAAACAUGGGGAAGAGUCUGGUUGCCAGGACACACAUCUCCAGCCCAGGCACUCUCAUGUAAAGCAAGAAGAAACAUCGUGCUUCUCUGUAACCUGAAGAAAGGAUGCUGGAGUGGAGUCAAGCCCCAGGGUGACCUUGGACCCUACCUGGUGAAGAUGGCAGAGCCUCAAGCCGCUGGGUCCCUUGAAUGAGUGUGUGAAGGAAGGUCACCUAGCAACCAGGAUGGCCCCUGUCAAAUGGCUACAGGUAGAUGUAAGAAGCAAAUGUAUAUUGUGGUUGGCCUCUGAAAUUUGGAAUUUGUUUAUUACGGCAGCUAGCUUCUUAGGCAAUUUGCAUUAUCUUAACCAAUAUGGUCAUUUAAUUUGAAGAAGUGGGGAAAAAGCUACUAACAUAAGAAUAGAGGUUACCAGGUGCACUGACAAGGGCUAACAGGACAGUUCCCAUCAAGACUAUGGAUUUCGGCACCAGACUGCAGGAUUGAAAGCCAGUUCUGCCAUUUACUGGGUAUAUAACUUUAGGCAAGUGUAUUAGCUGGGGUUCUCCAGAGAAACAGAACCAGUAGGAUGUGAUACAUAUGUAGAAAGAGAUUUAUUUUAAGCAAUUGACUUAUGUGAUUGUGGAGGGUUGGCAAGUCCAGAAUCUGAUGGGGGAGGCCAACAGGCUGGAGACACAGGUAAGAGUUGCACUUCAAAUCCAAAGGCAGUCUGUUAGUGAACCAGGAAGGGCCAGUGCUGCAGAUGGAGUCCACAGGCAGUCUGCUGGUAGAAUUUCUUCUUGCUUAGAGAGAGGUUAGCUUUUCGUUCUUUUCAGGCCUUCAGCUGAUUGGAUGAGGCCCGCCCAGCAUUAUUGAGGGCAAUCUGCUUGGCUCAAAGUCCACUGCUUUAAAUGUAAAUCUCAUCCAAAAACACUCUCAUAGAAACAUCCAGAAUAAUGUUUGACCAAAUAUCUGGGCACCAUGGCCCAGCCAAGUUGACACAUAAAAGCAACCAUCAUAGGAAGUUAAUCUCCCAGUGCCUCAGUGUUCUCAUCUGUAAAAUGGAGAUAAUAAAAGAACCUAUCCUAGUGGGUGAACAUGAAGGCUAAAUGAAUCAAUGCAUGUGUUUAGCAUAGUGUCUGCACAUCGUGCUCAGUGAGUGUUUGCUCUUGACUAUUAUUAUUAUUAAUUAGUAUUGUCAUAGGCUUUGGCUGUAUGCUUCUCUCUGAUGAAAACGCUAAGAAAAAAUGUAAGCAGGGCCACCAAGAGUAACAGGAUUGUUUGGCUGGGAACACCAGUAAUGUGAUGAGAGACUUCGCACAUUAAAAUUCUCAUAAUGUAGCAAAUGGAGACUUGCAUACUCACAUUUGCAGGCUAUAUUGGCCAGUUCUCCAUUAGUCAGUGGCUAUUUUUUUCUUGUUAUUCCAUGAAUAAAUUUUAAUAUAUUCAACCUUCCCCAUAAACUGCUUAUUUACUGUUCAUAUUAAUGCAAUAUAGCAAAAACAUUUACAUGACUGGAAUCUUUUGCAGUCUACUAGAGCAUUUCUCUUGCAUUUCUUUCCCUUCAUUUCUGGUGAGAAAAUUCAUUUUUGCUCUACAUGCUUUUGAAUUAACUGUCACUCCUCAGGAAUGCAGUAUCAGCAUAAAUCAAGAAGCUGAUGUGGAGUGGAAUGAUUAAGAAUCUGGCUUGUGGUUGGGCAAAAUUGGGCGUGAGCCUUUCCAAGCCCUGGCUUCUUCACAGAGUGUUGUUGUGAGGACGGAAUGGUGAGUCUCAGCACAGUGCCUGGCCCUCAGGAAGCACUCGAUGAAUGGGAACUAUGAUGAUUCCUUUCAUUAGGAAUUCUCUGUAUUGUUGUUACAAUGUUCCACCUUGCGCUGGGGAGACCUAGCAUCCUGGGUCCCUGAAUGACUGUGUGGAGGAAGCAACCAGGAUCACCACUGUCAAACUGUUACACAUGCAAGGAGUCAACUAUUGUGGUUAAACUUCUAAAUUUGAGGUUUGCUCAGAAUUCCAAAGGAUGCAUGCACCUAUUUACAAUAGCCAGGACGUGGAAGCAGCCUGAAUGUUCAUUGACAGAGGAAUGGGUAAAGAAGAUGUGGUAAUAUAUAAGUGGAA